rnacentral:rRNA from 1 species
GAUGAACGCUAGCGACAGGCUUAACACAUGCAAGUCGAGGGGCAGCGAGGGAGUGCUUGCACUUCUGUCGGCGACCGGCGCACGGGUGAGUAACACGUAUGCAACCUGCCCUUGUCAGGGGGAUAAGCGAGGGAAACCUCGUCUAAUACCGCAUAUAUGAUUUUGAGGCAUCUCAUAAUCAGGAAAGAAUUAUCGGACAAGGAUGGGCAUGCGGGACAUUAGGUAGUUGGGGGUGUAACGGACCACCAAGCCGACGAUGUCUAGGGGUUCUGAGAGGAAGGUCCCCCACACUGGUACUGAGACACGGACCAGACUCCUACGGGAGGCAGCAGUGGGGAAUAUUGGGCAAUGGGGGAAACCCUGACCCAGCAACGCCGCGUGAAGGAAGAAGGCUUUCGGGUUGUAAACUUCUUUUAGCAGGGACGAAGGACGUGACGGUACCUGCAGAAAAAGCAACGGCUAACUACGUG